UACAGAGACUGCAAGCGUUAUUCGGAUUCACUGGGCGUAAAGGGCGCGUAGGCGGCGCGGGAAGUCCGUGGUGAAAGCCCGAGGCUCAACUUCGGGUCGGCCAUGGAUACUCCUGGGCUUGAGCACUGUAGAGGCAGGUGGAAUUCCGGGUGUAGCGGUGGAAUGCGUAGAGAUCCGGAAGAACACCGGUGGCGAAGGCGGCCUGCUGGGCAGUAGCUGACGCUGAGGCGCGA
rnacentral:rRNA from 1 species